UGCAUGAUCUAAUAUAAGUUCUUCAAUAAAUAUGUGUGAAGAUCGAUUCACCGGGAUAUGGCGACUGAGGGCUUGGUCGCCGCAGGCGCUACUGCAGCAUUGGGAGCUCUUCGAGGAGAUCUUCGAGGAACAGCCGACCUUCUGAUCAAGCUUGCUUGUGCUGCUUGCAACAGCAUAGGCAGAUGCCAGGCGAUGGCAGACAAGGUGAAGAUGGUUAAAACCGCCCUCGAGAGCAGCUCAUACAGGUACGACGAUGUCAACCUUCAGGUUAAUCUAGAAAAGCUGCUAGUUGUGAUGAAAGACUGCGUGUGUCUUGUCGAGAAACACAGCAAGACGAGUACGGUGAGCUUCUUCUUCUCGUGCCACGCUCUCACUGUUGACGAAUUUGACGACCUCAACGCGCGCCUCAAUCGCUGCAUCAGCUGCUUGAAUCUGAUCACAUCUCCUCGUAUGAUCGCAGUCAUGAGCACAAAGACGAGAUCAUAGCCCAAGUACAGGCCAACACAGCACGAACUAUUGAGGAGAUAAAGCAGCUGGUCAAGGGCCAGGAGCCCGUAGAAUAUUUGACAGCCGUGCAGGGCGUUGUGACCGUGGGUGAAGCCUUGGCCGGGGACUACAUGAUAUCUGCGACGCUCACCGACAACAGCUCCUCAGUGUCACGGAAAGUCAUCCUAGUGCAGUCACACGAGACAAAGAAGGAAGUUGCGAUCCUGGAGAAACUAAGCCUUCACGAGUGCAUACUUGAGUUGCUUGGCAUCUUUCCAUAUGGUGAGUCCAAGCCUUAGACACCGACCUGCCUUUGAUGAAAAGUGUGACAUCUACUCACUGGGAGUGGUGAUUUGGGAGCACAUCACUGGGAACUUUCCUUUCGCCAAAUACACUAACUACCGAAAACUUACCAGAGAUCGGAGCGAAAAUGUUGCCCUCUUAAAAAAGCGAACUUAAGUGACAAACUCAAAAGUUAAAGAGUGAGUUUGGAUAAUCACGAAGCGUUCCUCACUUCCACUUGCAGUGGAAGUAAAAGAGUAGCAGCAAUAAGAAUACAAACAUCUUGGUUUUAUUUUUCUUUCUCUUGGCUUGGAUUCGAUUCGCUUGAAACGAUGGAACUUUAGCUGGCGAGAGCUUCCUUGAGCUCCUUAUUCUCUUUCAUCUCCAUGAUAAUGUCACAGCCCCCGAUAAGCUCGCCUUUGAGGUAGAGCUGAGGAUAAGUUGGCCAGUUUGAGAAUGCCUUGAGCCCCUCGUCACUGAGAAUAUCAAAGCUGCCAAAUUCGAUGCCUUCCUCCUUGAGUGCGCUUGCCACCUUCUUGCUAAACCCGCACUUUGGCUCCUCGGGCGUCCCUUUCAUGAAAAGCAUUGUCGGGGACGAGUGAAUCAGCUUUUUCAGCCGGCUGUUGAUGUCUUCCUUUUCCUCUGUCGCCCCCACAGCUUCCUUGAGCUCGCCACUCUUGUGCAUUUCCAUGACGAUGUCGCAUCCACCUAUCAGCUCGCCCUUGACGUAUAGCUGCGGAAACGUUGGCCAGUUGGAGAAGGACUUGAUGCCUUGCCGGACCUCUUCGUCGCUCAGAAUGUCGAAGGAGCCAAAAGGAACUCCCACCUCCUCGAGUGCUCCCGCAACUUUCUUGCUGAAACCGCACUUUGGCUCCGACGGACUCCCUUUCAUGAACAGCAUCACGUCGUGCGAGUGGAUAAGCUUUUUUAGACGCUCCUCGAGAGUUUCCUCCGGUCCCUUGUCGGAUCCAUUGGCGUGAGCUUUGCUGCCAUUCUCUUGCGACUUUAGCUUGGCGUCCGCAAGAGCUUCUCCCAGCUCCCCACUCUUGUGCAUCUCCAUUAUCACAUCACACCCUCACAAACAGCACACAAUAGUAAGAAAAAAACGACCAAAUGCAGCGAUUGAGUGACUUUUCCUUUUCUACCUUUAUAAAAACGAAGUAAGGCACCAAAGAAACGCUGUACUUUUCGGAUAUUUCUGGAUGCUCCUCGGCUUCAACCUGUGAGUACAAUAAUUGGUGGAUGUUUAUUAGUCAAGUCUAGGCAAAUCAGAGAAGAGAAAAUCGAGCACACGCCCUGUCAAGCGAGACAUGGCAUACGGCACUGCAAGAUCCAGAAGAGAAGGGGAAAAAAAAAUAGCACCACCAACAACCAGACUCACUUAAGAAUGAGACUUGCCAUUCACAACUCCACAACAAAAAUGUGACCGAUUUAGAAACGUGGAAGAUGAAAGAGAAACAAAAAAAACAAGACAAGCAGCAGCGAAUCGAGAAAAAAAUAAAUAAAUAAAAAUAAAAUGCGAUCCGAGAAAUCGGUGAAGUAUUAACCGGUGAAGUAUUGUAUACAAACCCGGAGAAAUCUGGCCCGCGGUGCAGUGUCGGCACAGAGCUGCUCGAAGACGACAUCCAUUUGCUUGGAGGCCUCGCACCAGGGCGUACGGAAAUGGAGCACGACCGAUUUACCAGCCUUGACAACCUCGUCGAGAUGCGCCAAUCCACGAGCUUCUUCCACCAUGAGCGCCAUGGCUCUCCCUCUUCGAUCGCUCGAGACCCUAGAACAGAGGAGACCUAGGGCAAGCUUUUAAAGAGGACGAGCAAGCGCAUAUUCCCUCCCAACAGAUAGCGCAUAUUCCACCACCGCCCCACCCAACGUUGUAGUGGUCAAACAGAGACCGCUUCUAUACAUAGACAUCAGCAAAGAAACUAAAGAAAUUAAGAGAGAUUUAUUUCUGAAGCACUAGAAUACAUUACAAAAUACCUUAUGCACUUCUUUCUUCAGCUCGCCCACUUGCCACGUCAGCACUCAGUUAGGGCUCAAUCAAACUAGACACCGUUAUCACCAGUGUCACUUUAGCCCAUUAUAACGUGCAAAACCCCGUUUUCGUGCAUCGGGCGCCACGUGUUGAGCUGUGGCCGGCCAGAUUACUAUACUAGGAGAGUGAUGUGGAUAAAAUAUGUGUGAAGAUUGAUUCACCGGGAUAUGGCGACUGAGGGCUUGGUCGCCGCAGGGGCUAGUGCAGCAUUGGGAGCUCUUCGAGGAGAUCUUCGAGGAACAGCCGACCUUCUGAUCAAGCUUGCUUGUGCUGCUCGCAACAGCAUAGGCAGAUGCCAGGCGAUGGCAGACAAGGUGAACAUGGUUACCACCGCCCUCGAGAGCAGAUCAUACAGGUACGACGAUGUCAACCUUCAGGCUAAUCUAGAAAAGCUGCUAGUUGUGAUGAAAGACUGCGUGUGUCUUGUCGAGAAACACAGCAAGACGAGUGCGGUGAGCUUCUUCUUCUCGUGCCACGCUCUCACUGUUGACGAAUUUGACGACCUCGACGCGCGCCUCAAUCGCUGCAUCAGCUGCUUGAAUCUGAACUUCCACAUCUCCUCGUAUGAUUGCAGUCAUGAGCACAAAGACGAGAUCAUAGCCCAUAUACAGGCCAACACAGCACGAACAGCACGAACUAUUGAGGAGAUAAAGCAGCUGGUCAAGGGCCAGGAGCCCGUAGAAUAUUUGACAGCCGUGCAGGGCGUUGUGACCGUGGGUGAAGCCUUGGCCGGGGACUACAUGAUAUCUGCGACGCUCACCGACAACAGCUCCUCAGUGUCACGGAAAGUCAUCCUAGUGCAGUCACACGAGACAAAGAAGGAAGUUGCGAUCCUGGAGAAACUAAGCCUUCACGAGUGCAUACUUGAGUUUCUUGGCAUCUUUCCAUAUGGUGAGUCCAAGCCUUAUCUUGUCUUUGAGAGGCCCUCCGAGGAAAUGACAACAUUGGACGAACUGAUCAAUAAGAACCCGGGGAGUUUUAUGAGUGACUGGAGAGUAAAGAGACAGAUCGCUCUGGAGCUGGCAAGAGGUAUGAGAGACUCUCAUCUGGCCGGUGUGGUCCACAAGAAUUUCCGCAGCUCCAACAUAUUUCUUAGCGGUGACCUUCAGCACGCUAAGAUCUUUGGCUUCUACCAGGGAAGGAUCAAGCUGGAGCCAAGUGCCAAGAAGUGGAUGAACGACGAGCAAGUCCGCUGGGCUGCACCUGAGCAAGUUCAGAGACACCGACCUGCCUUUGAUGAAAAGUGUGACAUCUACUCACUGGGAGUGGUGAUUUGGGAGCUCAUCACUGGGAACUUUCCUUUCGCCAAAUACACU
rnacentral:lncRNA from 1 species